rnacentral:lncRNA from 1 species
CCCUCAAUCUGAUUUGUUUGCUAUGCAUCUAUAGAUAGAAAUUCUCUUUAUUAUAGAUGAAUCUUAUGACCCAAUAAGUAUAGGACUCUUCACUCAAACAUGCUUUGAAUCAGUCCAAUACUCAUAAAAGAAGGACUUCAUGAGAUAGAAUUGCCAACACAUAUGACAACCACAUUGCACCCAAUCCCUCACCCACAUGGGUCGCCCACAAUAAGGAAGCUUUCAGGAGUUGGUUAGCCUAUAAGAGAGGGGAUUCCCAGUGCAAGUAGGAUUCCUCAUAUAUCAUCCAAAAUGGAUCC